CAUUCGUUCCCUUCCUCCCCAAGAAUAAGAUAACAUAGCUUUCUUCCUGGAUUCUUCGUUUUAGGGUUUAGGGUUUGAAAAUAUGAACAUUUCUGGUUGUUGGGUUUCAUCAAUGAAAUUGCCCUUCCUCGGGUGGCGAUUCUCUAGGCCUUACCUCUCUCUGUUCUUCUUCUUCUUCGUCUCUCAUUAUGACCAUUCAAAAUUGUUCUUCUUCGGCUUCCAUAUCAACGUCGGAUUCGAAGGAGAAGAAGAAGGAAGCAGCUUCACCUUGGUUAAUUGUUGGCCUCGGCAAUCCAGGCAAAAAGUACGCUGCCACCCGCCACAAUGUGGGUUUUGAGAUGGUUGAUACCAUUGCUGAAGCUGAAGGGAUAUCUAUGACCACUGUUUCCUUCAAAGCCUUAUUUGGAAAAGGUUUUAUAGGUGAUGUACCAGUUAUACUUGCAAAACCACAGACUUUUAUGAAUUUAAGUGGCGAAUCUGUUGGGACCAUAGUUUCAUAUUACAAGAUUCCAGUGAAGCAAGUACUUGUGAUCGUUGACGACUUGGAUUUGCCUUUUGCUAAAUUGCGGCUUCUACCAAAGGGUGGACAUGGAGGUCACAAUGGAAUGAAGAGUGUUAUUAAUCACUUCAAAGGGAAUACUGGUUUUCCCCGUUUAAGAAUUGGCAUUGGGCGACCUCCUGGGAAAAUGGACCCUGUAGCUUUUGUUCUUCACACCUUCACUAAACAGAAAGGCAAGAGUUGAAUUUUACAUUACGAGAUGGAUUAGAAGCUGUGCGCAUUCUUUUGCUUGAGGGAUUUGAUAAAAGUGCAACAUUUGUUAAUAGUGCCAAAAAGAUAGAGCAAACAGGUUGAGGAAUUUCUGACUUAAAAAUAUCCUUUUGGCAAGUACAAACAAACAGGAUCGUAUAGCAAGGAGAUACAGCUUAGAGUAAACUCGUUCAAAUCUCUGUUUUUAAUUUGAUAGGGCUAUGUUUGAGCAAGUAUUCAUCAAUUCUUUCAGAAAGCAGUUUCAGCACAAUGAAUUCGAACCUGGUGCCUGAAAUCUUCAGACGUUUACAUAUUGUGGUGUUUGAUCAAUUUUGAGCACUUUCAGCGCCUUGAAUUACAUUAUAUAAUGUCGUGGAAUUAUUAGGCAAUUGUAGUUGUAGGUACCUUUCAUAAUGAUCACAUAAGAUCAUUUUCUCUGUUCUUGGCUGCCUGUGAGUUGAUAGCUCACACGAGACUCAACAACGGUUUUUAAUUCUUUAUCACUAUGUAGAAGUUCAUCACUGUGUAUUCAUACAAGAGUUGCUCUGGCUUGAUGUCAUGAAUCUGCCCAUCACAUUUCCUUUCCCCAUUCUUUGGUUCAGCUAGGCUUCUUGUACACUAAAUAAUAGUUUUUGGCGGUUUGUUCAACGAACGAGCUGUAUUUCUUAACCAAAGUUGUUGUGUAUAAUAUACCUACUUAUCUUUCUACAGAAUUUGCUAUUUAUUAUUUGGUGAAAUUUAUGUUGGGCUCACGAAAUAGGAUCUGCUAAAAAAAAUAGUAUGGAAUGGAACUCACAUAACUUAGUA